rnacentral:rRNA from 1 species
GGUUGGGAUCAUACCAGCACUAAUGCACCGGAUCCCAUCAGAACUCCGCAGUCAAGCGUGCUUGGGCGAGAGUAGUACUAGGAUGGGUGACCCCCCUGGGAAGUCCUCGUGUUGCAACCC